rnacentral:rRNA from 1 species
AACACUUGCCGAAGCCUUAGCAGCCCGAAAGGGUGCAGUUCCGCGACUCAAAGAAAGGAGGACUGCUGAAAUGCUAGUCUGCAGAAGCAGGCAACACUAUCAAAUUGCGGGAACACCCUAAAGACCUCAACACCAAGCGUCAUGGGAAACCAUGGCGUGGCCGAGCUAAUAGCCCUGGGUAUGGUAACAGCUUGAGGUAUGAAGCCUUCGCAAGGAGGCUGAAAUGGGCAAUCCGCAGCCAAGUCCUAACGUGCUCGAAACCGAGCGCCAUGGAUGCUGUUCACAGGCCAAAUGGUAGUGGGUGACUCUUGCGAGUUGCUUAAGAUAUGGUCGGGCCCCUUCAGAAAUGUGGGGGAUAAGCUUACGCUUCUCUAAACCGUUCCGUAGGUGAACCUGCGGAAGGAUCAUUA